rnacentral:rRNA from 2 species
UGACCUCGAAUCAGGUAGGAAUACCCGCUGAACUUAAGCAUAUCAAUAAGCGGAGG